UGUAGCUAACUCACAUUAUCUCUAUAUAGAUUAUGAGUCAUCUCGUUCUUAUGAAAGCAACUAUCUGCGAUAUGGGACAAAAUUUCAGCUUGGUACGAGAAACGUUCUCAAAACUAACUUCUUGUUUGAGUGGAUGACUGGAAACAUUGAAGGAACCUUGAGAACAUAUAACGCAGAUUAGCGUAAUACUUGGGAAUCUAUCAAGCUGGAAUACAAACAUUUUCACAGUAGUUCAUGGAAUAAAGUGUCGAUCAAGCUUGCGAUUCCAGACUAGAUGAGCGGCGAAUAACCAACGAUAGCAAACACAAGGGGUGGUGAUUGGAGAUCGUAGAGAUGCUACGGUAAAGUUCGACUUAUCAAAUAAGAUCAAAGCCUACACAAGGUCGUCAAAAGAGUUAUACACAUGUGGAGCUAGAUAUAUAAUUCUAAUUACCACAAAGAUUCGACCGAAACGGAGGAGAAGAAACACAUUCUCUUGAAGAAUGUGACACGGAUAACUAGGGAGAGAUUUAAAGAUUCGAACGAUAUCAGACCCUUAUUAAUCCCUUUCAUUCCUCUCAUCAGACCAUUUGUAGCACUCCUAGCUACAACCCUAACUCGAUUGUUUCCCCAUAAUUGAUGUACCUCACAGGUCCCAUUAAUUGGUUGACGAACCGUAUCUCGGCCUUCAACUUCUAGAACAUUAUAAAUAUUCAGCAUGUUGCUCAACAGUAAUGCUACAUCGAGUAUGAGACCGAUGAAUUGGAUAAUAUUUCUAAUGAAGUCGCGGAUAUUAAGGUUUCACGAGCAGUAGUUCCUAGUACUACCUCAGAUUUGAAUUGAAUAAGUAAUUUCGAAUUCAUUACGAUAAUAGUUUGACUCGUUAUCCAAGUCAAUUCUAAGAUUGGGAAGAUACUGAUUGUCAUGGAAAUAAUUCGUAGAGGUUUGAAGGACUAAGUUAACACUAUUUCGAUCAAUCUCAGAUAUUCUUCCUUGAAGAAACCGUAGCUUGGGAAUAACUUAUCAUAUAAAUAGGGAUUGAUCCCUAUUUCGGAACCAACCUCCUAGAGACUACCCGCAUAAGUGUAUUCCUCUUGAUAACGAAUUCCUUGAUCAAGACUUGAAGGUAUUAUGGAGAAACCACCAAGUUGAAGAAGCGACGGAUGAGCAAGAAGAUAAUUUUAGGAAAUUGUAUUUCCAUGUUCGAAUAAUAGUUGAGAAUCUGGGGACCAGAUUCUUUUAAGGAGGGCAGAGUGUAACACCCCGUAAAUAUGUAAGUUGUUUAAGUCUGGGGAUAAUUGAAUUUAUUUAGUUGAUAUGUGUCGAUAUGGAAUUAUAAUAUAUCUCGAAUUUGAUGGGAAGUGUAGAAUUGUAAUUAUCUAAACUUAUGGCAUCUAUUUGGUAAUUAAGAAAACUAUUUGGCCCUAUAAGCUAAUUUUAGAAUUUACAAGUGAGAUAAGAACCAACGUGUACUUCGUCUAUUCUAAUUCCUUCUUUGGCCGCCACGUUUCUUCUUCUUCUCUCACCUUCUCACCGUUUCUCUCUCUCUCUCUCUCUCUCUUCUAUAUUGAUUCUUGGCUGAAAUCCCCAAUUCAUAUUAUCAGCAUAAUCGGGGCUGCGUGGAUGCCUUAGCAAAGGGUAUUAAUGAUCAGCUCAUAUCAUUAGAAAUAUUGGGAAGUCAGAUUUAUAGUGGUGGUGGUCUCCAGCAGCAGUCGCCGGCGGUGGUGGCUGGAAUCCGACAAAGAAGACGAGCUGUCCAGAAUUUCAAUUUCAUAGUUUUGCCUUUUCCGUAAAUCAAUUAAACGGAGGUCUUAAAGAUGGAGCAUCGAUGAUCCGAAGGUACCGUUCGAAACCUUAAUAAGUUAGAUUUCCAGUGGUGGUGGUUCUUGAUUGUCUACAUCAGCGGUGGUCAUCGGAAUUGGCUAGAACUUCAGCUCGCUCGUUGAAACGAAGGGAAGCAAAAUCUGCUGCCGCACCUGUUUUCGGAGCCGAAAUCGAAGGGUUUCGAAUGCGAAUUUGGAAUCGGUUCCUUCAGGAAACUCGUAGAGGACAUCGUAAACUAUAAGUGUUGAGCAUAGUAAAGCUCUCACUCAAGGUUUAAGCUUAAUGAUGCUUCUAUAGCACUAGCGUUGGACUCCAGGUAAAAGAAAGACUUAGACCUAAAUUUUUAUACCAAGUGCUAAAGCUCGUGUAUGCCUCCGAUUAGUCUCGUCGAGAGGUAUCUCUAAUUAUGUUCCGUAUAGGAAUCCUUUGAUCGAGAAUUUUGUAAUAGAGUAAGUGGUGUCGAAGUCGACUUGUAAUAGAACCUCCUUUUGUAAACACGAUGGUAUAGAUAUUGGGGGUUUAAUGUUUUGAUCAUCGAAA